UCUUUUAAAGGAUAAUAGUUAUCCGUUGGUCUUAGGCUCCAACCCUCCUGGUGCAAAUCCAUGUAAAAGAU
rnacentral:tRNA from 1 species